UACGUAGGGUGCGAGCGUUGUCCGGAAUUAUUGGGCGUAAAGGGCUCGUAGGCGGCUUGUCGCGUCUGCUGUGAAAGCCCGGGGCUUAACUCCGGGUCUGCAGUGGAUACGGGCAGGCUAGAGUCCGGCAGGGGAGACUGGAAUUCCUGGUGUAGCGGUGGAAUGCGCAGAUAUCAGGAGGAACACCGGUGGCGAAGGCGGGUCUCUGGGCCGGUACUGACGCUGAGGAGCGAAAGCGUGGGGAGCGAACAGG
rnacentral:rRNA from 1 species